AUGCAUUCUAGUCCUGCCUGGGACACUCACUGGCCUCAAGAUCUUGGGCAAAACAGCUGACUGCUUUGCACCUCAGUUUCCUCAUCUGUAAGGUCCAGGACUACCCACUUCCCUUGGAAUGGUGUUGCCAUCACUGUUCUGGCACCGGAGAAAGGAUUCUACAUCGUUAGGAGAAAAGAAAAAGGAGAAUUUGGGCUUGCACUGAGAGGAUUACCUUUGGUGGUCUGGAAGUGGUGGAUUAUAGCAUUUUAAACAAAGUAAAAACGAGGACACUGUACCGAAGUUGGCUUUCUCCC
rnacentral:lncRNA from 10 species